AUACCUUUCUCGGCCUUUUGGCUAAAAUCAAGUGUAGUAUCUGUUCUUAUCAGUUUAAUAUCUGAUAUAUGGACUACAUGUACACAACGAUAUUAAAUUUAUUUUUUGUGGGGGAGAAUCCAUCUUAGUGGCUUGCCACUAGGGUCCUCGCGUGUUCGUCGGGCGUUGCACUAUAGCCCGGGUGUGGCGCGCCCCAC
rfam:Triticum urartu cultivar G1812 contig729326, whole genome shotgun sequence.